CCUACGGGAGGCAGCAGUGAGGAAUAUUGGUCAAUGGGCGCGAGCCUGAACCAGCCAAGUAGCGUGAAGGAUGACUGCCCUACGGGUUGUAAACCUCUUUUAUAAAGGAAUAAAGUGAGGCACGAGUGCCUUUUUGUAUGUACUUUACGAAUAAGGAUCGGCUAACUCCGUGCCAGCAGCCGCGGUAAUACGGAGGAUCCGAGCGUUAUCCGGAUUUAUUGGGUUUAAAGGGAGCGUAGAUGGGUUGGUAAGUCAGUUGUGAAAGUUUGCGGCUCAACCGUAAAAUUGCAAUUGAUACUGGCAGCCUUGAGUACAGUUGAGGUAGGCGGAAUUCGUGGUGUAGCAGUGAAAUGCUUAGAUAUCGCGAAGAACACCGAUUGCGAAGGCAGGUUACUAAACAGCCACUGACAUUGAUGCUCGAAGGUGUGGGUAGCAAACAGGAUUAGAUACCCUAGUAGUC
rnacentral:rRNA from 1 species